UGCACACCACACUCCUCCCAAUGAGUCAUGACAUUAGGGGGUUGGCCAGGGGAGCGGUUAACAUUUGUUUUGACAUAGAGAAGACACAGCAGUUGACAGUGCUGGAGAGACUAAAAAACUGCUUUUUGUAUUUCAUCAGACACUUUCGCUAACUACGUUGUGUAUCUGUGACAUCUCUGUGUGAAAUGGUGUGACUGAUCGUCAACUCCUGCAGGUACGUGGUGCGGCGCAUCCGGGCUGCAGUGAGAAGGGGAGAGCAGCCAGAGAAGCCCACCGCAGCAUGUAGCCAGGCCAAGGGUGAGUGGGCUCAGCUGGGGCAAGAGGAGGCCUGGAGGUCCUUGGGCUCUGGGGCAUGGAAGGAGGAGGGUAUGCAGAAGAAUGGACAGGUGGAGCCGAUGUUCAAACCCCUGGUAACGGAGCCGGAACCAGGCCUGAAGGUGGCAGAGUGGGCCUCUGGUGAAUGACGUUAGAGAGGGCUGGAUAGAAAACAGGAGAGAGUGUGGAGGAAGGGAUGAGAGGAACAACUGUGUAAAAGAUGCACUGACUCAGUUGCAUUAUUAUCUGUAUCCUGUAAGACUAUAGCAGCAACCUCAUAUGUUGUCCUAUCACAUGCUAUGGAGAGACGCCCACUGCAUUAACUAAUCCUUGCUAAUGCCAUGUCAGUAUGAGGAGUUACAUGUACUGCAUGUUUUCUCUGGCUCAGUAUGAAAUUGUAUGACACUGACCUUGCACAUACAGAUGCAUUCACCUGCUAAUACAACGGAUCACAUUUACUGUGGAAAAAUUCACACAUUAGGUGCACACACACACACACACACACACACACACACACACACACACACACACACACACACACACACACACACACACACACACACACACGCACACACACACUCUCCCCCUCCCACUCCACUCCUGUGGCCAGGUCUCUGUCCUUUGGGGUAGUCGAAGGUCAGAGUGAAAGAGUAACAAGCAGUAGCAGGCAACGAAGAGAAUGAUUGCCUGGACAUCAAUUCCCCACCUGAGGAAAUGCCCAGGCAGGAAGACAAAAACAAACCUUCUGCUGUUAAUAAAGAUACUGCCUCUAUUUCUUCACUGUAUUCUGGGAGAUGUGUAUUUUCAGUAAACAAAGUACUCUUGCCCCCA